GUAGUUGUUGCAGUCGGCAUUCACACCUUGGACGAUUUUUCAGCACUAAAUAUGGGGAAAGGCAAACAAGAUGCAUGACAUUUUGUCAAAAGUGUCAAUUUCGGUGCCGAUAUUUCAUUGUUAUGGACACAAGGCUUCAUGCCAGAUGGUCAGAAAAUUGCCACUCGCUUGUCCAGGCAAAUCACCAAGAUCACGAACAAGAUGAAAUUAACAAUUGAGAAACACAAUGCUGCCAUUGAUUCUCUUCGUGAUA